AACAAACGCUGGCGGCGUGCCUAAUACAUGCAAGUCAAACGGGUAGCAAUACUAGUGGCGCACGGGUGAGGAAUACAUGGGUAAUCUGCCCUCGAGUUGGGGAUAACCAGUCGAAAGAUUGGCUAAUACCGGAUAAGACCACAAGAUCUGCGGAUCAAGGGUUAAAGGUUUUUCGCUUGAGGAUGAGCCCAUGUGGGAUUAGCUAGUUGGUGAGGUAAUGGCUCACCAAGGCGACGAUCCCUAACUGGUCUUAGAGGAUGAUCAGUCACACUGGAACUGAGACACGGUCCAGACUCCUACGGGAGGCAGCAGUAGGGAAUAUUGCACAAUGGGGGAAACCCUGAUGCAGCGACGCCGCGUGAGUGAUGAAGGCCUUCGGUCGUAAAGCUCUCGGUCGUAGUGGGAAUAACACAAUAGAAUGUACCAUGCAAGAAGGAUCGGCUAACUUCGUGCCAGCAGCCGCGGU
rnacentral:rRNA from 1 species